rnacentral:siRNA from 1 species
UCUUUUAACAGAUGUGCCGCC